rnacentral:rRNA from 1 species
CACCGCGGUUAUACGAGAGGCCCAAAUUGAUACUCUACGGCGUAAAGCGUGAUUAAAGAAAAUAUAUACUAAAGCCGAACAUCUCCCUAACUGUUAUACGUUCAAAGAGCCAUGAAGCCCCACAACGAAAGUAGCUUUAACAAAAAAUCUUGAACUCACGAAAAUUAAGAAA